GGGGAAUAUUGCACAAUGGGCGAAAGCCUGAUGCAGCAACGCCGCGUGAAGGAUGAAGGGUUUCGGCUCGUAAACUUCUAUCAAUAGGGACGAAAAAAAUGACGGUACCUAAAUAAGAAGCCCCGGCUAACUACGUGCCAGCAGCCGCGGUAAUACGUAGGGGGCAAGCGUUAUCCGGAAUUACUGGGUGUAAAGGGAGAGUAGGCGGCAUGGUAAGUUAGAUGUGAAAGCCCGGGGCUUAACCUCGGGAUUGCAUUUAAAACUAUCAAGCUAGAGUACAGGAGAGGUAAGUGGAAUUCCUAGUGUAGCGGUGAAAUGCGUAGAUAUUAGGAAGAACAUCAGUGGCGAAGGCGACUUACUGGACUGAAACUGACGCUGAGGCUCGAAAGCGUGGGGAGCGAAC
rnacentral:rRNA from 1 species